UACGUAGGGUGCGAGCGUUGUCCGGAAUUAUUGGGCGUAAAGAGCUCGUAGGCGGUGUGUCACGUCGGCCGUGAAAACCUGGGGCUUAACUCUGGGCGUGCGGUCGAUACGGGCAUCACUAGAGUUCGGCAGGGGAGACUGGAAUUCCUGGUGUAGCGGUGAAAUGCGUAGAUACCAGGAGGAACACCGGUGGCGAAGGCGGCUUCCUGGCCCAGUACUGACGCUGAGGCACGAAAGCGUGGGGAGCGAACGGG
rnacentral:rRNA from 1 species